AAGGACUGCACUAGCUGGACUAGCUUUCUCCAUCUGUUUUAUUCUCAUGUCCACCGAGACCAUGGGUCUGGGCCUUUGGGUGCUGGUCUUGGUGGGUUCGUCCGAGAGGGGUUGGUUGGGGGUGCAGGAUUCAGGAUGGGGGCUACAUACACCCCUCUGACUACACUGGGAUACUGAGGCCCUGUCCUGGCCUUGAUGAGAGGAAGAUGUUGGGGAGACAUAUGACAUUACUGGAGUUUCCCCUGUCAGAGCUCUGCAACACCGACUGCUGAAGACGUGUAGAAGAAUUGUUUGGUUUUGCUCUUGAAAAUAGAGUUUAAAAAGUUAUAGCUUUUGCUUAUAGUUACCUCACCACAUCAAGAGAUUAAAUGAAGAGUUUAUUCCCAAAACAUUAUGUACAUGAAAUUUCACAUUUGUGUUUUUUAACCAGUGAUUGCUUAUGGGUUUGAUGUGUGUG
ensembl:lncRNA